rfam:Soboliphyme baturini genome assembly, scaffold: SBAD_scaffold0003719
GUCCAGUCAGAACAAAGCUAUUGAAUCUGCAGCAUUCAUUAAUGCGCCUCUGCCGAAGGAGCAAGUUCUGUUCUACUGGAC